rnacentral:rRNA from 1 species
ACGGAAGGCAGCAGUGGGGAAUAUUGCACAAUGGGCGAAAGCCUGAUGCAGCGACGCCGCGUGAGUGAAGAAGUAUUUCGGUAUGUAAAGCUCUAUCAGCAGGGAAGAAAAAUGACGGUACCUGACUAAGAAGCACCGGCUAAAUACGUGCCAGCAGCCGCGGUAAUACGUAUGGUGCAAGCGUUAUCCGGAUUUACUGGGUGUAAAGGGAGCGCAGGCGGUACGGCAAGUCUGAUGUGAAAGCCCGGGGCUCAACCCCGGUACUGCAUUGGAAACUGUCGAACUAGAGUGUCGGAGGGGUAAGUGGAAUUCCUAGUGUAGCGGUGAAAUGCGUAGAUAUUAGGAGGAACACCAGUGGCGAAGGCGGCUUACUGGACGAUCACUGACGCUGAGGCUCGAAAGCGUGGGGAGCAAACAGGAUUAGAUACCCUGGUA